rnacentral:rRNA from 1 species
UACGUAGGGGGCUAGCGUUGUUCGGAUUUAUUGGGCGUAAAGAGCGUGUAGGCGGCCAGGUAGGUCUGCUGUGAAAACUCGAGGCUCAACCUCGAGACGUCGGCGGAAACCAUCUGGCUAGAGUCCGGAAGAGGAGAGUGGAAUUCCUGGUGUAGCGGUGAAAUGCGCAGAUAUCAGGAAGAACACCCGUGGCGAAGGCGGCUCUCUGGAACGGUACUGACGCUGAGGAGCGAAAGCGUGGGGAGCGAACGGG